AUUGAACGCUGGCGGCAGGCCUAACACAUGCAAGUCGAACGAGUGGCGGACGUGUGAGUAAUGUCUGGGAAACUGCCUGAUGGAGGGGGAUAACUACUGGAAACGGUAGCUAAUACCGCAUACCAUCGGAUGUGCCCAGAUGGGCUUAGCUAGUAGGUGGGGUAAAGGCUCACCUAGGCGACGAUCCCUAGCUGGUCUGAGAGGAUGACCAGCACAACUGGAACUGGGACACGGUCAAGACUCCCACGGGAGGCAGAAGGGGGGAAUAUUGGAAAAUGGGCGAAAGCCUGAGGCAGCCAGGCAGCGUGUAUGAAGAAGGCCUCGGGUUGUAAAGUACUUUCAGCGGGGAGGCGUUACCCGCAGAAGAAGCACCGGCUAACUCCGUGCCAGCAGCCGCGGUAAUAC
rnacentral:rRNA from 1 species